rnacentral:rRNA from 1 species
UGGCGGCAUGCCUUACACAUGCAAGUCGAACGGCAGCACGGGAGCAAUCCUGGUGGCGAGUGGCGAACGGGUGAGUAAUAUAUCGGAACGUGCCCAGUCGUGGGGGAUAACGCAGCGAAAGCUGUGCUAAUACCGCAUACGAUCUCUGGAUGAAAGCGGGGGACUCAGCAAUGGGCCUCGCGCGAUUGGAGCGGCCGAUAUCGGAUUAGCUAGUUGGUGGGGUAAAGGCCCACCAAGGCGACGAUCUGUAGCUGGUCUGAGAGGACGACCAGCCACACUGGAACUGAGACACGGUCCAGACUCCUACGGGAGGCAGCAGUGGGGAAUUUUGGACAAUGGGCGAAAGCCUGAUCCAGCAAUGCCGCGUGCAGGAUGAAGGCCUUCGGGUUGUAAACUGCUUUUGUACGGAACGAAACGGUUGCCUCUAAUAAAGGUGGCUAAUGACGGUACCGUAAGAAUAGGCACCGGCUAACUACGUGCCAGCAGCCGCGGUAAUA